UUGAGUAUUAUUUCUGGCGCUGGGUACUUGAUUCAAAUCCCGGUUCCAGAAUAAUAUUCAG
rnacentral:miRNA from 1 species